rnacentral:rRNA from 1 species
UACGAAGGGGGCUAGCGUUGCUCGGAAUCACUGGGCGUAAAGGGUGCGUAGGCGGCCCUGUAAGUCAGUGGUGAAAUACUCCAGCUUAACUGGAGGGGUGCCAUUGAUACUGCAGGGCUUGAGUGGAGUCGAAGUAGGCGGAAUUGACGGUGUAGCGGUGAAAUGCUUAGAUAUCGUCAAGAACACCGAUAGUGAAGACAGCUUACUAGGCUUCUACUGACGCUGAGGCACGAAAGUGUGGGGAUCAAACAGG